rnacentral:rRNA from 1 species
UACGUAGGGGGCGAGCGUUGUCCGGAUUUAUUGGGCGUAAAGAGCUCGUAGGAGGCUUAGAAAGUCGGGUGUGAAAACUCCAGGCUCAACCUGGAGACGCCACUCGAGACUGCUAUGGCUAGAGUCCGGUAGGGGACCACGGAAUUCCUGGUGUAGCGGUGAAAUGCGCAGAUAUCAGGAGGAACACCGGUGGCGAAGGCGGUGGUCUGGGCCGGCACUGACGCUGAGGAGCGAAAGCGUGGGGAGCAAACAGG